rnacentral:rRNA from 1 species
UUAUUGUAUAACAGAGGUGCCGGGGCUGUCGCCGACUUUGUGCACGCCCCGGUGCUCUCUCACAAUCCAUCUCACCCCCUUUGUGCAUCACCGCGUGGGCGCUCUCCUUUUGGUUUAUUCUGAAAAAGGGGGCGUUUGCGUUUUUAUACAGACCACCGCAUGUGUAGAAUGUCUUACUAUUUGCGAUAACACGCAAUCAAUACAACUUUCAACAACGGAUCUCUUGGCUCUCGCAUCGAUGAAGAACGCAGCGAAAUGCGAUACGUAAUGUGAAUUGCAGAAUUCAGUGAAUCAUCGAAUCUUUGAACGCACCUUGCGCCCCUUGGAAUUCCGAGGGGCACACCCGUUUGAGUGUCGUGAACAUCCUUCAACCUUUCUUGGUUUCUUGACCGGGGAAGGCUUGGACUUUGGGGGUUUUCAUUGCUGGCCUCCCUUGAAGCCAGCUCCUCCUAAAUGGAUUAGUGGGGUCUGCUUUGCCGAUCCUUGACGUGAUAAGAUGUUUCUACGUCUUGGGUUUGGCACUGUCGCUUCAGACCCCGCUUCAAACAGUCUUGAAUCUAAGACAGAGUUUUAUAAACCUUGACCUCAAAUCGGGUGAGACUACCCGCUGAACUUAAGCAUAUCAAUAAGC